rnacentral:misc_RNA from 1 species
AACGCAUAUGGCACCUUUUGGUUUUUACUAAAAGGUAUGCCUGUUUGAGAAUCAUUUUAUUUAUCGUUUCCUUUUGGAUUCUCGAAUCCAUUUGGGGACCGCAAUUGGGCAUUCAUCAUUGAUAGCCUUGAAUUUAUGCACGAUUGUGUCGUGAUAAUUUUACGAAUUGCAUCGACCAAUCCCAAUCUAUCAUCUAAUGAUCUCAAAUCAGGCAAGAUUACCCGCUGAACUUAA